AGAGAUACCAAAGGGAAUGGGAUUUACUGAAGAAAUUGCCGUCAGUUUGAAUGAACCACACAGUAUGAGAGCUGGAUGUGCAGUCUUGAAGGAAUCCUACGCUUCAUGAAUGAGGAUUUGACAUCUGGCAGAGGUCUUUAUGAACACAUUUAUGAUCAUCCUUCAAAGCAACCACAUGAAAUGGGCCAGGGGCUUGUUCUCUUUUAGCAGACAGACGGGUUGAGUCACCACAAGAUGCUGUUAUGGUUUAAAUGUGUGGAGCUAUAUAUAUACAUACACACAUACACAUGUAUAUAUCAAUCAAGCUAUACUUAUCCCCAAUAACAGAGAGGAAAAAUAUAUUAUUAGAAUAAGAGCCGCAUAUUUUGGAAAACUUACCAUGUGCC
rnacentral:lncRNA from 1 species